CCUACGGGCGGCUGCAGUCGAGAAUAAUUCACAAUGGGGGAAACCCUGAUGGUGCGACGCCGCGUGGGGGAAUGAAGGUCUUCGGAUUGUAAACCCCUGUCAUGUGGGAGCAAAUUAAAAAGAUAGUACCACAAGAGGAAGAGACGGCUAACUAUGUGCCAGCAGCCGCGGUAAUCACGAGGUCUCAAGCGUUGUUCGGAAUCACUGGGCGUAAAGCGUGCGGAGGCUGUUUCGUAAGUCGUGUGUGAAAGGCGCGGGCUCAACCCGCGGACGGCACAUGAUACUGCGAGACUAGAGUAAUGGAGGGGGAACCGGAAUUCGCGGUGUAGCAGGGAAAUGCGUAGAUAUCGAGAGGAACACUCGUGGCGAAGGCGGGUUCCUGGACAUUAACUGACGCUGAGGCACGAAGGCCAGGGGAGCGAAAGGGAUUAGAUACCCUGGUAGUC
rnacentral:rRNA from 1 species